AUAUCUACCUUUUGAAUCAAGACCGAGGAGAAUGAAUGACACAUCUUUCAGGAUUCAGCUUGACUGAGAGCCAGCUGUUACAGCCUUGCACAUUUAGUGCAACUUCAUUAAGACUGAAUAACUGGGCCAGGAGCUUAGCUCAGCCUCAGCGGCACCUUACCUGCCUGGAAAUUGCAAGGUCCUGAGUUCAUUCCCUGCUACUCCACCCCCCAAGAAAAAGACUGAAUG
rnacentral:lncRNA from 1 species